rnacentral:rRNA from 1 species
GUGAAAUCCCGUAUGAAUCAGCGAGGACCACCUCGUAAGGCUACAUAUUCCUGAAUGACCGAUAGUGAAACAGUACCGUGAGGGAAAGGUGAAAAGAACGCCGAGAAGGCGAGUGAAAUAGUACCUGAAACCGUGUGCUUACAAGCGGUCGGAGCUGCAUUUAUGUAGUGACGGCGUGCCUUUUGUAUAAUGAGCCUACGAGUUGCUCCUGUUGUGCGAGGUUAAGCCCCUAAGGGGUGGAGCCGUAGCGAAAGCGAGUCUGAAUAGGGCGUGCAGUACAGCGGGGCAGACGCGAAACCAAGUGAUCUAUCCAUGGUCAGGGUGAAGCGGUGGUAAGACACCGUGGAGGCCCGAACCGGUUGACGUUGAAAAGUCUUCGGAUGAACUGUGGAUAGGGGUGAAAGGCCAAUCAAACUUGGAGAUAGCUCGUACUCCCCGAAAUAUAUUUAGGUAUAGCGUCUGGUUUUGUCUCACUGGAGGUAGAGCACUGAUUAGGCUAGGGCCCUUCACCGGGUACCAACCCUAGACAAACUCCGAAUACCAGUGAUGAGCCGCCAGGCAGUCAGUCGCAGGGUGAUAACGUCCUGUGGCGAGAGGGGAACAACCCAGACCACCAGCUAAGGUCCCUAAAUACCGACUAAGUUGA